rnacentral:rRNA from 1 species
CAGCACCUCAAGUGGUCAGGAUGAUUAUUGGGCCUAAAGCAUCCGUAGCCGGCGCUGUAAGUUUUCGGUUAAAUCUGUACGCUCAACGUACAGGCUGCCGGGAAUACUGCAGCGCUAGGGGGUGGGAGAGGUAGACGGUACUCGGUAGGAAGGGGUAAAAUCCUUUGAUCUAUUGAUGACCACCUGUGGCGAAGGCGGUCUACCAGAACACGUCCGACGGUGAGGGAUGAAAGCUGGGGGAGCAAACCGGAUUAGAUACCCGUGUAGUCC